AUUAAAAAUGGGUAAAUUAGUCUUUGUACGUUAAAUCAAAGAGCAAACUGGUCAUUCUGUUAAAAAUUUCAUCUAUUUCUUCUAUUAAAAUUGACCUUUGUACAUAAGCAUGAGGUAUAUAUGACAUGCCACAUGUCACUUUCUAGUUAUUUUAUCAACUACGUUAGUUUUUAACAAUAUAAAUGAAUGAAAUUUUUAACAGAAAGGACCAAUUUACUCUUUAAUUUAAUAUAAAAAGACUAAUUUACUAAUUUUUUAGUAGAGAGAAAAAAAUACGAUCUGACUCUAAGUACAUAGGCCUCCACGAUGCUCCCAAAUUAAACUAUUUUUAAAUUGACGAAAUUAUUGGAAUCAAAAGUAAAAGGAUUAAAUUUAAAAAUCCAAAGAGCACAGGAACUGAGGAUAAAAUUAGACCAUAUAUAAAAUUCAAAGAAUCUCAAACAUCGUCAACGGAAAUAGAGCAUCUUCUUCCUUGAUUGCCAAGAAAAAAACAUGGUCUCAUGAACAAUAUAUAUACAUACAAGUCCCCCAAUUGCUCUUUGAAACCAGUACCAGUACUCAGUUGCAAAUUUUGACUCAGUUUUGAUGUCGUCAAGCACUGAAAUCUUCUCUUCCUCACGCGAAAAGCUGAAAGCAAAAUCCUCAAACAUGAGGAUUCAUAAAAGAAAGCUUCAUGACCACCAAGUUCAGAACAACAGUCCGAUGAAGAAACAGAAAGACUUUGCGGUGAUCAAAACCCUACUUCGAAUAUCUUCAACGAGACGCAUUGCGGUCAUCGGUUCUGCUCCGAUUGCAUUCGACGUCACAUCGUAACGAAAUUGAAAGACGAAAACACGAUCGCGGUUGGUUGUCCGGAACCCAAUUGUGAUACCUCGAUAACGCCUGAACAAUGUGAAUCGAUAUUACCGGGAGAAGUGAUUUAUAGAAGGGAUGAUGCGUUGCUUUACUCUGUAAUAUUGCCGCUUCUGGUAUUUGAAUGCCCUUACGAGGAUUGUAAAGCUAAGUUAAUAGAUGAAGUGAUGGGAGGGACAGAAUGUGAGUGCCCUAAUUGUCUGACUAUAAUUUGUGGCGAAUGUAGGGAUUUCAAGCAUGAAGGUAUGGGAUGUGAGAAAUUUAAGGAAUUUGGGAAUUUGCAGUGAAUUUUGCUGGAAAAGACUGAUAAAAGUUGAAUGAUGGUGAGUUUCUUCGUUAAAUUGUUAAAUGAUUAUAUUAUAUGUUAGGAAACUAAUAAAAUUUAAAUAUGAAAUUAAAUUGUAUAUUUUUAUAAUGGUAAAAAAAGUAAUUUUAUUAA